GGAGUUGUAGCUCAGCGGUAGAGCGCUUGCCUCAUACAUGUGAGGCACUGGAUUCGAUUCCCAGCACCA
rnacentral:tRNA from 1 species